CCAUCUCCCUCUUCGGAGAGCUCCUGGGCAAAACGGCGUGGAGGGACAGGAGAGCCAUGAGGAGAAACUCAUGGGAGGCCCUGGUCCAGCUCGUUCUUCACAUGAGCGACCAGGUGCCCAGCGUGGCCAAGGCUUCCAAAAACGCCGUCCUGGCUGUGGCAGAGCUCCUCGGCUGGGAGGAGCUGAAGCAGCUGGCGAACAGGGAGCAGACGUGGAUGAUGGGCGAGUGCUUGCUGGCCAAGGAC